rnacentral:rRNA from 1 species
CACGUAGGGCGCAAGCGUUGUCCGGAAUUAUUGGGCGUAAAGAGCUCGUAGGCGGUCUGUUGCGUCCGCUGUGAAAACUCGGGGCUUAACCCCGAGCCUGCAGUGGAUACGGGCAGACUAGAGGUAGGUAGGGGAGAAUGGAAUUCCCGGUGUAGCGGUGAAAUGCGCAGAUAUCGGGAGGAACACCGGUGGCGAAGGCGGUUCUCUGGGAAUGUCCUGACGCUGAGGAGCGAAAGUGUGGGGAGCGAACAGG